rnacentral:rRNA from 1 species
GAUGAACGCUGGCGGCGUGCCUAAUACAUGCAAGUCGAGCGAACAGACGAGGAGCUUGCUCCUCUGACGUUAGCGGCGGACGGGUGAGUAACACGUGGAUAACCUACCUAUAAGACUGGGAUAACUUCGGGAAACCGGAGCUAAUACCGGAUAAUAUAUUGAACCGCAUGGUUCAAUAGUGAAAGACGGUUUUGCUGUCACUUAUAGCUGGAUCCGCGCCGCAUUAGCUAGUUGGUAAGGUAACGGCUUACCAAGGCAACGAUGCGUAGCCGACCUGAGAGGGUGAUCGGCCACACUGGAACUGAGACACGGUCCAGACGCCUACGGGAGGCAGCAGUAGGGAAUCUGCCGCAAUGGGCGAAAGCCUGACGGAGCAACGCCGCGUGAGUGAUGAAGGUCUUCGGAUCGUAAAACUCUGUUAUUAGGGAAGAACAAAUGUGUAAGUAACUAUGCACGUCUUGACGGUACCUAAUCAGAAAGCCACGGCUAACUACGUG